rnacentral:rRNA from 1 species
ACAAUGGAGAGUUUGAUCCUGGCUCAGGAUGAACGCUAGCGGCAGGCCUAACACAUGCAAGUCGAGGGGCAGUCACGUCUUCGGACGUGAGCGACCGGCGCACGGGUGCGUAACGCGUAUGCAACCUACCUACUACAGGGGGAUAGGUCCCGGAAACGGGAAUUAAUACCGCAUAAUACUAUAAAACGGCAUUGUUUAAUAGUUAAAGCUCUUCGGAGCGGUAGCAGAUGGGCAUGCGUAUGAUUAGCUUGUUGGUGAGGUAAUGGCUCACCAAGGCAACGAUCAUUAGCGGGUCUGAGAGGAUGAUCCGCCACACUGGGACUGAGACACGGCCCAGACUCCUACGGGAGGCAGCAGUGAGGAAUAUUGGUCAAUGGUGGCAACCCUGAACCAGCCAUGCCGCGUGCAGGAAGACAGCCUUCUGGGUUGUAAACUGCUUUUAUAUAGGAACAAAAAGGUCCUGCGGGACAUAUUGAGGGUACUGUAUGAAUAAGCACCGGCUAACUCCGUGCCAGCAGCC